GAUUACACGGUGCGCUUGGAGUCGGGUAGGCUGCACCUGGCAUGCGACGUCUUCUCAAGGACUCUGUCUUGGAUUUAAAAAUUAAGUAAAAUGGAAAAUACUAGGUUGCCAAGACUGUGUCUGGAGAGGCUGAUUGCGCUUGCGAGGGGUGGUUUCACCGACCAUAGGUUCAAUUGGUUUUGUCAAAUUAUGCACUUUUUUAUUGAAAGCGAUUCGUUAGACACUUGAAAUGAUUUGAAUCUUAAUCAAGUAAAUUUAAAUUCGGACGAAAUAGUCACUAAUUUCAAAAGUAAUUACGUUCGACGUGAUCUGGAGGCCAGGUCGAAAUCUAAAAGUCUCGAGAUGUGGCCAUUUUUUUGAGAUUCAGCCGGGUCCCCAGCCUUACCUGUUGGAACGUUUAAAUUUGUACUUGAAAAAAGCAAUUGUUCAAAUGAGACUUAUCAAUAAACAGAGAAGGAGGUUUUUGAUGAUAAAAAAUAAAGUAAUUGAAUCUUAAUCAUGGGUUGAUUCCUACUGGUGCUUUGAGAGGGGUAGUUUCUGCCACUUCUUAGUAGAAUGCAAGAAAUUCCGGGAUAUAAAAACAAAAUGCUUCCCGAAUGUGUAUGGUUGCGAGCAUGAAAUAGGAUUUUGGAUAAAAGUGAUCGAAUCUCAUUCUGCAGAAGAGAUAAAAAGAUUCGUAUAGGAAUGAUCGAAAAAAUGUUAUGCGCUUGACAUGUUAUAUUAUAUAUGUUAUAUUUAUUAUUGUAAUUUUUGAUGUUUGUAUAUUGAACCGAAUGGUUUGAAAUAAAUAAAGAAUGCACUGAUGGCGAAAGUGACAGUGAAAACAUCGAUGGUAAAUAAUAGUUAAUAAUAAUAAUAAUGUACGCACUUAUAAAUUUUUUAUAUUUCUAUAAAAAAUAAUUCAGAAGGUUAAUGAAAUUCGACAUUCAAAAAAAUUAAAAGCAAUUGAAAGAAAUGUUGUUGGUAAAAAUAUAUGAGUAAGGCUAUUUUUCAAAACACUAAUAGUUGGGAAUUUUUUUCUUGCAGAAAAAUUAAGGAAAAAAAACACUGACAAAAAAUCUUUGGCAAAACCUUCUUCAUCAACAACGUCUUUCAAAAUAUUUAGAAAAAAUGUCGCCGAAAAUAAAAUAUCAAUAACAGAUUUGAAUUUGGUACUCGAAGAACUUGCAGUAUUAAAUUCUAAAGUUGAUGAAGUAAUUGAAAAUCAAACAGUAUUGAAAACUAUUAUCCAAGUAAACAAAGCUACUAUAUACGCAGGACAAAAAAAAUUUGAAGUCCAAUUCAAUUUGUAUUUACCAUUUAAAACAAUUUAAGAAUUUAACGAUUUUGAUUUGCAAGUGUCAACAAAUGAAGCAUG